GGAUAACACUUAGAAAUAGGUGCUAAGACCGCAUAAGCGCCCAGGGCCGCAUGGCCCAGGGUGAAAAACUCCGGUGGUAUAAGAUGGGCCCGCGUCUGAUUAGCCAGUUGGCAGGGUAACGGCCUACCAAAGCGACGAUCAGUAGCCGGCCUGAGAGGGUGGACGGCCACAUUGGGACUGAGACACGGCCCAAACUCCUACGGGAGGCAGCAGUGGGGGAUAUUGCACAAUGGGGGAAACCCUGAUGCAGCGACGCCGCGUGAGUGAAGAAGUAUUUCGGUAUGUAAAGCUCUAUCAGCAGGGAAGAAAGAAGACGGUACCUGAGUAAGAAGCCCCGGCUAACUACGUGCCAGCAGCCGCGGUAAUACGUAGGGGGCAAGCGUUAUCCGGAUUUACUGGGUGUAAAGGGAGCGUAGACGGCAAGGCAAGCCUGGAGUGAAAGGCGGGGGCCCAACCCCCGGACUGCUCUGGGAACUGUCUGGCUAGAGUGCAGGAGGGGUAAGUGGAAUUCCUAGUGUAGCGGUGAAAUGCGUAGAUAUUAGGAGGAACACCAGUGGCGAAGGCGGCUUACUGGACUGUAACUGACGUUGAGGCUCGAAAGCGUGGGGAGCAAACAGGAUUAGAUACCCUGGUAGUCCACGCCGUAAACGAUGAUCACUAGGUGUCGGGUGUUAAGGAACGCUCGGUGCCGCAG
rnacentral:rRNA from 1 species